rnacentral:rRNA from 1 species
GAAACGACUGCUAAGACUGGAUAGGAGAUAAGAAGGCAUCUUCUUAUUUUUAAAAGACCUAGCAAUAGGUAUGCUUAAGGAGGGGCUUGCGUCACAUUAGUUAGUUGGUAGGGUAAAAGCCUACCAAGACGAUGAUGUGUAGCCGGGCUGAGAGGCUGAACGGCCACAUUGGAACUGAGACACGGUCCAAACUCCUACGGGAGGCAGCAGUAGGGAAUUUUCGGCAAUGGAGGAAACUCUGACCGAGCAACGCCGCGUGAACGAUGAAGUAUUUCGAUACGUAAAGUUCUUUUAUUAGGGAAGAAAAGAUGGUGGAAAAACCAUUAUGACGGUACUUAAUGAAUAAGCCCCGGCUAACUAUGUGCCAGCAGCCGCGGUAAUACAUAGGGGGCGAGCGUUAUCCGGAAUUAUUGGGCGUAAAGGGUGCGUAGGCGGUUUAAUAAGUUUAUGGUCUAAGUGCAAUGCUUAACAUUGUGAUGCUAUAAAAACUGUUUGACUAGAGUUGGAUAGAGGCAAGUGGAAUUCCAUGUGUAGCGGUAAAAUGCGUAAAUAUAUGGAGGAACACCAUGAGCGAAGGCGGCUUGCUGGGUCUUAACUGACGCUGAGGCACGAAAGCGUGGGGAGCAAACAGGAUUAGAUACCCUGGUAGUCCACGCCGUAAACGAUGAGUACUAGACGUUGGGUUAAACCAGUGUCGAAGUUAACACAUUAAGUACUCCGCCUGAGUAGUACGUACGCAAGUAUGAAACUUAAAGGAAUUGACGGGACUCCGCACAAGCGGUGGAUCAUGUUGUUUAAUUCGAAGGUACCCGAAAAACCUCACCAGGUCUUGACAUGCUUCUGCAAAGCUGUAGAAAUACAGUGGAGGUUAUCAGUUGCACAGGUGGUGCAUGGUUGUCGUCAGCUCGUGUCGUGAGAUGUUGGGUUAAGUCCCGCAACGAGCGCAACCCUUGUUGUUAAUUGCCAUCAUUAAGUUGGGGACUUUAGCAAGACUGCCAGUGAUAAAUUGGAGGAAGGUGGGGACGACGUCAAAUCAUCAUGCCCCUUAUGACCUGGGCUACAAACGUGAUACAAUGGCUGUUACAAAGGGUAGCUGAAGCGCAAGCUUUUGGCAAAUCUCAAAAAAACAGUCUCAGUUCGGAUUGAAGUCUGCAACUCGACUUCAUGAAGUUGGAAUCGCUAGUAAUCGCGAAUCAGCAUGUCGCGGUGAAUACGUUCACGGGGUUUGUACACACCGCCCGUCA